rnacentral:rRNA from 1 species
AUUGAACGCUGGCGGCAGGCCUAACACAUGCAAGCCGAACGGUAACAGGAAGAAGCUUGCUUCUUUGCUGACGAGUGGCGGACGGGUGAGUAAUGUCUGGGAAACUGCCUGAUGGAGGGGGAUAACUACUGGAAACGGUAGCUAAUACCGCAUAACGUCGCAAGACCAAAGAGGGGGACCUUCGGGCCUUUUGCCAUCGGAUGUGCCCAGAUGGGAUUAGCUAGUAGGUGGGGUAACGGCUCACCUAGGCGACGAUCCCUAGCUGGUCUGAGAGGAUGACCAGCCACACUGGAACUGAGACACGGUCCAGACUCCUACGGGAGGCAGCAGUGGGGAAUAUUGCACAAUGGGCGCAAGCCUGAUGCAGCCAUGCCGCGUGUAUGAAGAAGGCCUUCGGGUUGUAAAGUACUUUCAGCGGGGAGGAAGGGAGUAAAGUUAAUACCUUUGCUCAUUGACGUUACCCGCAGAAGAAGCACCGGCUAACUCCGUG